AACGAACGCUGGCGGCAUGCCUAACACAUGCAAGUCGAACGAGACCUUCGGGUCUAUUGGCGCACGGGUGCGUAACGCGUGGGAACCUGCCCUUAGGUUCGGAAUAACUCCCCGAAAGGGGUGCUAAUACCGGAUAAUGUCUUCGGACCAAAGAUUUAUCGCCUUUGGAUGGGCCCGCGUUGGAUUAGCUAGUUGGUAGGGUAAAAGCCUACCAAGGCGACGAUCCAUAGCUGGUCUGAGAGGAUGAUCAGCCACACUGGGACUGAGACACGGCCCAGACUCCUACGGGAGGCAGCAGUGGGGAAUAUUGGACAAUGGGCGAAAGCCUGAUCCAGCAAUGCCGCGUGAGUGAUGAAGGCAUUAGGGUUGUAAAGCUCUUUUAACCGGGAUGAUAAUGACAGUACCGGGAGAAUAAGCUCCGGCUAACUCCGUG
rnacentral:rRNA from 1 species